AACGUAGGAGACGAGCGUUAUCCGGAUUUACUGGGCGUAAAGCGCGUGCAGGCGGUUCUGUAAGUCAUGUGUGAAAGCGCCCGGCUCAACUGGGCGAGGCCGCAUGAGACUGGAGGACUAGAGAGGGGUAGAGGCCGACGGAAUUCCGGGUGGAGUGGUGAAAUGCGUAGAGAUCCGGAGGAACACCAGUGGCGAAGGCGGUCGGCUGGGCCUGCUCUGACGCUCAGACGCGAAAGCAUGGGGAGCGAACGGG
rnacentral:rRNA from 1 species